GGGGAAUUCUCCCACUCAAGAGAAUAAAACCAUAGAUACCAUCAAGCUUGGGAUUAUUUUCCAUUAUAGUUCAUUACAAGAUAUUGAAUACAGUUGCCUAUGCUAUACAGUAGGACCUCGUUUAUUUUAUAUAUACUAGUGUGUAUCUGCUGAUCCCAAAGGGACUGUUUCUUAAAAGACACUUGGAAUUCCCUGGAUUUACUGGUGAUGAGCAGUGAAUAGAACGGCGGAGUGCAUCAAAACUUGGACCUCCUUUGGGCUUCCCUGGUGGCGCAGUGGUUGAGAGUCCGCCUGCCGA